AGGUUUGCAACCUAGCAGAGCAGGGGAGGGUGAGCACAACAUCAGGAGAGGGGUAAAAAACUAAAUAAGAUACUGAGGCUAGUAGCUGAACAUGAGAAACAAGAAGCUAUAUUACUUAUGUACCAAAAGUCCUCCCAGCCCAACUCCCCCUUCUCUAACUUUACCAGUGCAGAGAAACAACAUUGAGAAGAGAUGCAGAUAACUUCAAGCUACUCUCUACUAAACUUCAAGAACCAAUUUGAAGUCAAUAGAAUAGCCACCAACUUACUGAAAACAGCGUUUUGCCAGUGCUGAUGCCUUUGAAAAAUCUCAUCCUCAAAGCAGCAUAGAAAUAAUUGGUGUAAAUAAAGGCCCAAGUGAAUGAAAGAAAGCAGUAACAUAGCAAUGUGGAAAGAGAGAGGAUGAAGAAAACGAAGUCAAUCCUACUGGAAUAUGAGAUACAACCUUUAACUUCUUAUAUUGUGAGUUUAGAAGGCAGGAUGGUAAAGUACAUUAAUUCUUCAGGUUUCCCACUGAAAUAAAACAGAAAAAAAUA